CGUUGACGGCGUCUUCGACGGAGAGACAAGUGGCUGCGUAGACGCCCGGGAACUUGUUGGCGAACAUCGCAACUCCGACGCCGGUGCCGCAGCAGACUAAGCCGCGAACUUCGGAAGACGAUGAAGCGGAGACGCGGC